CGGUGCUUGCAGCCACCAUUCAUGGUGCCACCCAAGCAGUUCUAUCUAGAGUCCUGGCCCAUCACGCUCUGCUCCUGGCUGGAUGUCAGAGGCCGAACCUGCAGACGUGUGCUCUUCCCACUUUGCAUGAACUGACGAUGGAGUGGCAGCAGGCCCAUUUACAGUCCCCAGAAGGAGAAGCAGGGAAAUGACAGACGAGCAGGAGUUAGCCACCAAGGAGGGAAGAGACCCACGCCAGCCCACCCGGAGGGAAGGUAAAGGAGUUUGGACACGGUGUCUGUCCUCUCUGCAAGUGGCAUCCCCAAGUUGUCAACCUUGUGAUGAACAUGUCAUGGAAGGUUUGGAGCAGUGGGACCCCCUUAUACACAGGAUUCGUGCCUGAGGUCCUCCUGUUGUCAUACACGGGUCCCUGAAGGGCGGCUGGACAAGAGCGAACGGAAGCAGGAAAAGAAGCUGGGGAACAAAUA